rnacentral:piRNA from 1 species
UGGCUGAAGGUGGCCGCUGAAGCAAUGACUU